ACGAACGCUGGCGGCGUGCUUAACCCCUGCCAGUCGAACGGAAAGGCCUCUUUCGGGGGGUACUCGAGUGGCGAACGGGUGAGUAACACGUGAGUAACCUGCCCUUGACUUUGGGAUAACUUCAGGAAACUGGGGCUAAUACCGGAUAGGAGCUCCUGCUGCAUGGUGGGGGUUGGAAAGUUUCGGCGGUUGGGGAUGGACUCGCGGCUUAUCAGCUUGUUGGUGGGGUAGUGGCUUACCAAGGCUUUGACGGGUAGCCGGCCUGAGAGGGUGACCGGCCACAGUGGGACUGAGAUACGGCCCAGACUCCGACGGGAGGCAGCAGGGGGGAAUAUUGCACAAUGGGUGGAAGCCUGAUGCAGCAACGCCGUGUGCGGGAUGACGGCCUUCGGGUUGUAAACCGCUUUCGCUCAUGACGAAGCUUUGUGUGACGGUAGUGGGUAAAGAAGCACCGGCUAACUACGUG
rnacentral:rRNA from 1 species